rnacentral:rRNA from 1 species
AUUGAACGCUGGCGGCAGGCCUAACACAUGCAAGUCGAACGAGUGGCGGACGGGUGAGUAAUGUCUGGGAAACUGCCCGAUGGAGGGGGAUAACUACUGGAAACGGUAGCUAAUACCGCAUACCAUCGGAUGUGCCCAGAUGGGAUUAGCUAGUAGGUGGGGUAACGGCGCACCUAGGCGACGAUCCCUAGCUGGUCUGAGAGGAUGACCAGCCAAACUGGAACUGAGACACGGACCAGACUCCUACGGUAGGCAGCAGUGGGGAAUAUUGCACAAUGGGCGCAAUCCUGAUGCAGCCAUGCCGCGUGUAUGAAGAAGGUAUGCGGGUUGUAAAGUACUUUCAGCGGGGAGGCGUUACCCGCAGAAGAAGCACCGGCUAACUCCGUGCCAGCCGCCGCGGUAAGUC